rnacentral:rRNA from 1 species
CCCUUAGAUGUUCUGGGCCGCACGCGCGCUACACUGAUGCAUUCAACGAGCCUAUCCUUGACCGACAGGUCCGGGUAAUCUUUGAAUCUGCAUCGUGAUGGGGAUAGAUUAUUGCAAUUAUUAAUCUUCAACGAGGAAUGCCUAGUAGGCGCAAGUCAUCAGCUUGCGUCGAUUACGUCCCUGCCCUUUGUACACACCGCCCGUCGCUCCUACCGAUUGGGUGUGCUGGUGAAAUGUUCGGAUCGGCCGUUUGUCGCGGUUUCCGCGUCAUGUGGCUGAGAAGUUCAUUAAACCCUCCCACCUAGAGGAAGGAGAAGUCGUAACA